rnacentral:lncRNA from 1 species
UGAAACUUUCCAUCUUAGAAAAAUGUUAGGUGUCACAAAAAUGAGUGAGUAAAACACUUCUAUCAUUAAGGAAAGAUAUCUAAAUAGUUUAUAUGUAAGUAUAAGGAAGAUCUGAUUAAAGAUUUUUCUUAUGUAAUAUUUUCAUAAAAUAAAGAGUUUUGUUUAUAUAUCUUCUAUCCAAUUCAUAUGUAAGCCACAAGCAAAGGUUGCGAUCUUCCGCCUUAUCAGAAAAAAGACAAUAGGAUAGGCUCAGACUAAGUGUCAUCAUAGGCUAAACAAUUUUUCAUUACGAAGAAAGAGAAGUACUGCGGUACUAAUACAACUAGCAAAAGAAGAAGUCGAAAGGUAUAAAUAUUAAACUCCGCGCUUCAUGAAACUAUUAGCAUAAGAAGAAAUCUAUCUUCAUAUCUUUUAAAUACUUAUUCAUACAUACUAUAUGAUACUUCAUACAUACUAUAUGAUACUAAGUACCGAUAG